CUGGCGGCGUGCCUAACACAUGCAAGUCGAACGAGAAAGUGGAGCAAUCCAUGAGUAAAGUGGCGACCGGGUGAGUAACACGUGACUAACCUACCUUCGAGUGGGGAAUAACUCCGGGAAACCGGGGCUAAUACCGCAUAACAUCGCAAGAUCAAAGCAGCAAUGCGCUUGAAGAGGGGGUCGCGGCUGAUUAGCUAGUUGGCGGGGUAACGGCCCACCAAGGCGAAGAUCGGUAUCCGGCCUGAGAGGGCGCACGGACACACUGGAACUGAAACACGGUCCAGACUCCUACGGGAGGCAGCAGUGGGGAAUUUUGCGCAAUGGGGGAAACCCUGACGCAGCAACGCCGCGUGGAGGAUGAAGCCCCUUGGGGCGUAAACUCCUUUCGACCAAGACGAUAAUGACGGUACUGGUGGAAGAAGCACCGGCUAACUCUGUGCCAGCAGCCGCGGUAAUACAGAGGGUGCGAGCGUUGUUCGGAAUUAUUGGGCGUAAAGGGCGCGUANGCGGUGCCACAAGUCACUUGUGAAAUCUCCAGGCUUAACUUGGAGUCUGCAGGCGAAACUGUGGUGCUGG
rnacentral:rRNA from 1 species